rnacentral:rRNA from 1 species
AUGAACGCUGGCGGCGUGCCUAAUACAUGCCAGUCGAGCGAACAGAUGAGGAGCUUGCUCCUCUGACGUUAGCGGCGGACGGGUGAGUAACACGUGGAUAACCUACCUAUAAGACUGGGAUAACUUCGGGAAACCGGAGCUAAUACCGGAUAAUAUAUUGAACCGCAUGGUUCAAUAGUGAAAGACGGUUUUGCUGUCACUUAUAGAUGGAUCCGCGCCGCAUUAGCUAGUUGGUAAGGUAACGGCUUACCAAGGCAACGAUGCGUAGCCGACCUGAGGGGGUGAUCGGCCACACUGGAACUGAGACACGGUCCAGACUCCUACGGGAGGCAGCAGUAGGGAAUCUUCCGCAAUGGGCGAAAGCCUGACGGAGCAACGCCGCGUGAGUGAUGAAGGUCUUCGGAUCGUAAAACUCUGUUAUUAGGGAAGAACAAAUGUGUAAGUAACUAUGCACGUCUUGACGGUACCUAAUCAGAAAGCCACGGCUAACUACGUG